rnacentral:rRNA from 1 species
GACGAACGCUGGCGGCGUGCUUAACACAUGCAAGUCGAACGGAAAGGCCCUGCUUUUGUGGGGUGCUCGAGUGGCGAACGGGUGAGUAACACGUGAGUAACCUGCCCUUGACUUUGGGAUAACUUCAGGAAACUGGGGCUAAUACCGGAUAGGAGCUCCUGCUGCAUGGUGGGGGUUGGAAAGUUUCGGCGGUUGGGGAUGGACUCGCGGCUUAUCAGCUUGUUGGUGGGGUAGUGGCUUACCAAGGCUUUGACGGGUAGCCGGCCUGAGAGGGUGACCGGCCACAUUGGGACUGAGAUACGGCCCAGACUCCUACGGGAGGCAGAAGUGGGGAAUAUUGCAAAAUGGGCGGAAGCCUGAAGCAGCAACGCCGCGUGCGGGAUGACGGCCUUCGGGCUGUAAACCGCUUUCGCCUGUGACGAAGCGUGAGUGAAGGUAAUGGGUAAAGAAGCACCGGCUAACUACGUG